rfam:Caenorhabditis elegans chromosome V
CCAACGGCCCUCUUUAGGGCCACAAAUAUUUAAAAUCCUCUAUUG